GACGAACGCUGGCGGCGUGCUUAACACAUGCAAGUCGAACGGAAAGGCCCUGCUUUUGUGGGGUGCUCGAGUGGCGAACGGGUGAGUAACACGUGAGUAACCUGCCCUUGACUUUGGGAUAACUUCAGGAAACUGGGGCUAAUACCGGAUAGGAGCUCCUGCUGCAUGGUGGGGGUUGGAAAGUUUCGGCGGGUGGGGAUGGACGCGCGGCUUAUCAGCUUGUUGGUGGGGUAGUGGCUUACCAAGGCUUUGACGGGUAGCCGGCCUGAGAGGGUGACCGGCCACAUUGGGACUGAGAUACGGCCCAGACUCCUACGGUAGGCAGCAGUGGGGAGUAUUGCACAAUGGGCGGAAGCCUGAUGCAGCAACGCCGCGUGCGGGAUGACGGCCUUCGGGUUGUAAACCGCUUUCGCCUGUGACGAAGCGUGAGUGACGGUAAUGGGUAAAGAAGCACCGGCUAACUACGUG
rnacentral:rRNA from 1 species